rnacentral:lncRNA from 12 species
CCAGCCUCAGCCUCACGGGCUCCCACAGGCCAGGGCCAUGAGGAGUGAAAGCACGGGCAAGAGACCAGCUGGAAUCGCACACAUCACAGGGCACAGCUACAGGCAUUUCUGCAGGGCCAGGGGCAGGUCACAUGGGCAAGGCCCCUGGGACCCCAGGCCUGCCCCCACCCAAGGCCAGAGCCAAGAGCUGCGCCUGGACGACGUGUGACGGCAGCAGCCCUCCUGAGCAGUGCUCUCAGGGUGCAGACCACGCAGGGCCAGGUGGGCCCAGCUGAGCCCAGGAAGGACCCCGAUGCUCCCCCACACUUGCCGGCACCUUCUUCUUUCCCUGAGACUGGGGGACGCAGAGCACUGGAGGGACUCAGGAUACCCUCCUCAGGGCCACGGCUUCAUGGUAGGUGGUAUGGGGGGCACUACCUGGGGCUCAGCCCCAUCAAGGGAAACCUGCACCUAAGUCGCUAAGACCCCCAUGUGAACAGACCCAUCAGGGGGAGGGCGGGGACCCCCAUGUGAACAGACGCACCAGGGGGAGGGUGGGGACCCCCAUGUGAACAGACGCACCAGGGGGAGGGUAGGGACCCCCAUGUGAACAGAUGCACCAGGGGGAGGGUGGGGACCUGCCAUGUGAAGAGACCCACCAGGGGAGGGCAGGAACCGACCCCUCAUGUGAACAGAUUCAUCAGGGGGGGAGGCAGGGACCCCCCAUGUGAACAGACCCAGCAGGGGAGGG